AGAGCGAACGCUGGCGGCAGGCUUAACACAUGCAAGUCGAGCGGGCGUAGCAAUACGUCAGCGGCAGACGGGUGAGUAACGCGUGGGAACAUACCUUUUGGUUCGGAACAACCCAGGGAAACUUGGGCUAAUACCGGAUAAGCCCUUACGGGGAAAGAUUUAUCGCCAAAAGAUUGGCCCGCGUCUGAUUAGCUAGUUGGUGAGGUAACGGCUCACCAAGGCGACGAUCAGUAGCUGGUCUGAGAGGAUGAUCAGCCACAUUGGGACUGAGACACGGCCCAAACUCCUACGGGAGGCAGCAGUGGGGAAUAUUGGACAAUGGGCGCAAGCCUGAUCCAGCCAUGCCGCGUGAGUGAUGAAGGCCCUAGGGUUGUAAAGCUCUUUUGUGCGGGAAGAUAAUGACGGUACCGCAAGAAUAAGCCCGGCUACUUCGCGCCAGCAGCCGC
rnacentral:rRNA from 1 species